rnacentral:sRNA from 1 species
AGUCCCAUGGGAUAUUUGUUUGUCCCAUGGGACAAAAAAAAUCCCAUGGGAUUUUUAAUAUCCCAUGGGACAAAUUAAAAUCCUAUGGGAUU